UACGGGGGGGGCAAGCGUUGUUCGGAAUUACUGGGCGUAAAGGGUUCGUAGGUGGCUCGCUAAGCCAGACGUGAAAUCCCUCAGCUUAACUGGGGAACUGCGUCUGGGACUGGAGAGCUCGAGUGCAGGAGAGGAAUGCGGAAUUCCAGGUGUAGCGGUGAAAUGCGUAGAUAUCUGGAGGAAUACCGGUGGCGAAGGCGGCAUCCUGGACCAUUACUGACGCUGAGGCGCGAAAGCUAGGGGAGCAAACGGG
rnacentral:rRNA from 1 species